rnacentral:rRNA from 1 species
CCUACGGGCGGCAGCAGUGGGGAAUAUUGCACAAUGGGGGCAACCCUGAUGCAGCGACGCCGCGUGAAGGAAGAAGUAUUUCGGUAUGUAAACUUCUAUCAGCAGGGAAGAAAAUGACGGUAUCUGUCUAAGAAGCCACGGCUAACUACGUGCCAGCAGCCGCGGUAAUACGGAGGGGGCAAGCGUUAUCCGGAUUUACCGGGUGUAAAGGGAGCGUAGGCGGUUUAGCAAGUCAGAAGUGAAAGCCCGGGGCUCAACCGCGGGAUUGCUUUUGAUACUGGUGAACUAGAGUGCAGGAGAGGUAAGUGGAAUUCGUAGUGUAGCGGUGAAAUGCGUAGAUAUUAGGAGGAACACCAAUGGCGAAGGCGGCUUACUGGACUGUAAAUGACGCUGAGGCUCGAAAGCGUGGGGAGCAAACAGGAUUAGAUACCCCAGUAGUC